UGGGGAAUAUUGGACAAUGGGCGCAAGCCUGAUCCAGCCAUGCCGCGUGAGUGAUGAAGGCCCUAGGGUUGUAAAGCUCUUUCACCGGUGAAGAUAAUGACGGUAACCGGAGAAGAAGCCCCGGCUAACUUCGUGCCAGCAGCCGCGGUAAUACGAAGGGGGCUAGCGUUGUUCGGAUUUACUGGGCGUAAAGCGCACGUAGGCGGACUUUUAAGUCAGGGGUGAAAUCCCGGGGCUCAACCCCGGAACUGCCUUGGAUACUGGAAGUCUUGAGUAUGGUAGAGGUGAGUGGAAUUCCGGGUGUAGAGGUGAAAUUCGUAGAUAUUCGGAGGAACACCAGUGGCGAAGGCGGCUCACUGGACCAUUACUGACGCUGAGGUGCGAAAGCGUGGGGAGCAAACAGG
rnacentral:rRNA from 1 species